UCCAGCCAGAGCAGACAAGUCGUCCAUCCUUUAGUAUUGAAGAAAAUAGCUGGGUGCCCCUGGCCAUGUAUUUUAGCACUUAGGACUCAGCCCUUGUCCAGGUCCCUUGCAGGAACACCCUGCCUAACUGUGUCAGAUAGAAACGCUGACUUGGGAAAGGAAGAAAAGCACACUUGGAGUCAAGGAAGAACCGGUUUGGCCCUCUGAUUUCAAGAGUGAGGACCCGCCAGACCACAGGGCACACGCUGGUGAAAGUCGCUUCCAGUUAAGACAUUGUUACUCUGCAAUGACAACUUGCCAUCCGGGUGACAGCUCCAUGCAGAGAGGUUCUGGAAGCAAGGAAAAGGCAGUAUGGGAACAAUUCAGUCAUCCUUCCCACCCAAAGAACUUUGUCCAAUGUGGGACCUUCUUGGCCUUGGUGGAGGAGCUUGGGGUGGAUAAAGAUGCUUUUUGAUGUGAUUUGGGCUUUGUUUAGUACUUGACAGGGACAUGAGCUGAGGACGCAGGGCGGUGGGAUUGUAGAACUGGUGUCCCUGUGGUCCAAACCCAGGACUGAUAAACUUUCAGGAACAAGUUUACAAGAUUCUUCGAGUUCCUCCUCCCCCUGAAUUCUAAUUAUCUGUUGUCUGGAUCUGUGGAUGCAGUAAAAGCUGCUGGCAAGGGAGUCACCAAAAAGCUACCCUCUGGCUGCUAUGGGUGAUUUCCAUCUUCAUUGUCUCCCUUUAAUGAUGAAUCUUUCCAGAAUAGCUCUGAUUUCUGAAGGGUUUUCUUCUCCGUCCCCCGCCCCCCACCAAAAUACUAUAGAGAAAAGGCUGCUCAGACAAAGGCUGGAUUAAUCCCUCUAUCCCUAUGUCCUCCUUUACUUCUGACCUCUAAUAAUUACUGAAAACUUGUGGAAUGCAAGGAGACACUGGUGGAGACACAUAAAUUGGUAUUACUGAGUAGUUACUUUGUGAUGCCCACGUAAUUUAUUCAGCCCUGAGCACAGAAAACUAAUGUUGGAUGGAAGCUGUAAAGUAAUUCUUGUUCCCUGCUUGCAGCAACUUGGAUGUGGCGCAUGGCUUUAAUCUCAGCACUUGGGAGGCAGAAGCAGAAACUGAAGCAGGCAGAUUUCCAUGAGUUCAAGCCCAACCUGGUCUACAUAGCAAGCUCUAAUCUAG
rnacentral:lncRNA from 1 species